GGGUCAGUGGCGGAAUAGGUAUACGCGCACGACUUAAAAUCGUGUCCCGUAAGGGAUGAGGGUUC
rnacentral:tRNA from 1 species